rnacentral:rRNA from 1 species
AGCGAACGCUGGCGGCAGGCCUAACACAUGCAAGUCGAACGGAUCCUUCGGGAUUAGUGGCGGACGGGUGAGUAACAUGUGGGAACGUGCCCUUUGGUUCGGAACAACUCAGGGAAACUUGAGCUAAUACCGGAUGUGCCCUUCGGGGGAAAGAUUUAUCGCCAUUGGAGCGGCCCGCGUCUGUUUAGCUAGUUGGUGAGGUAACGGCCCACCAAGGCGACGAUCAGUAGCUGGUCUGAGAGGAGGACCAGCCACACUGGGACUGAGACACGGCCCAGACUGCUACGGGAGGCAGCAGUGGGGAAUCUUGCGCAAUGGGCGAAAGCCUGACGCAGCCAUGCCGCGUGAAUGAUGAAGGUCUUAGGAUUGUAAAAUUCUUUCAGCGGGGACGAUAAUGACGGUACCCGCAGAAGAAGCUCCGGCUAACUUCGUG